UCCAUAACCGAAGUUUAUUUAAGCGUCAAUUUGAAUGGUUUUAAGUUAUAAUCAUUAAUUUAAUAAUAUCGAAAAUCUAAAUGGUUUCAAGAGGAAAGCAGUUUGAGCUGAUCUGUUGGCUGGAAGAUCGGAAAAAGGACGUUAUUUAAUUUUCGAUGAUACCAAAGAAAAAUCGAGAUGUGGGCUUAUAUAAUUAUAUUGGAUUAUAUAAAAUCAAAGAAAAUCAUCAAACGGAAAGCGAAAUUUCUCGCUAUUAGCGGCUCUCAAAAAAUACCAACACCGAUUUUUGGGCUACACCCCUUCACGUUAAACGACAACCCCUGGUUACUACGCAGGCAGGACUUUGUGAAAAAAAAUCAUUUUUAGAAUAUUGAAGUGUAAAUAAUAUUACUAAUUUUUGGGCUCUUCAAAACCACCAUCACGAAAAAUAAUGAGCUGGAAAGUCCUGGUCCGUAAGACGAUUCUCGAAAUAUAUGAUUCCUGCAUAGCGAACUACUCAUCGAAUGGGAAAAGAAAGUCAGCCCCCGAUUGAUUUGAUAUUAUUUAAUGGUAUCAUUGAUAAAAUUUUCUAUUCUCCAGAUACAAACAUUUCUUUGGAACUAAAAAUAUAUAAAUUUACCUGCGUGCGUUUUUCUUUCGCUGAACGGGCGAAUAAAAAAUUUUCUUCUGCGAACAAGAAGGAAUUGAUUGCUUGCAUACAUCUCCGAAAUUGCUGCAAACAAAAGAAAGAACGCAAAACAGCGCAAAAAUGUCAAAAUUAGUUCGAAAAAUAGCAGAUCCAAAAAACCUCGAAAGACGGUAUCAAACACGGGGAAGGAAAGGGUAAAAGAAAAAGAUUCUGAAGACGAAAACUCAACUUUAGAAGAAGUGGUAUUAGAAAAUAAGAAAAACGAGUAGAAUAAUUAAACUUAUUAUGGUGUUCUAUAAUACUUCGAUGUUGACCUCAUAGUAGAUAUAUGUUUUAAUUUAUUAUAAAACUUUAUUCGUUUUUAAAACACUGUUACUUGUUUAUAAUAGUUUUACAUUUUUAA